rnacentral:rRNA from 1 species
UACGAAGGGUGCAAACGUUGCUCGGAUUUACUGGGCGUAAAGGGCGCGUAGGCGGUCAGCACAAGUCAGUUGUGAAAUCUCCGGGCUUAACUCGGAAAGGUCAACUGAUACUGUGCGACUAGAGUGCAGAAGGGGCAACUGGAAUUCUCGGUGUAGCGGUGAAAUGCGUAGAUAUCGAGAGGAACACCGAUGGCGAAGGCAGGUCUCUGGGCUGACACUGACGCUCAUGCACGAAAGCGUGGGGAGCAAACAGGAUUGAGAUACCCGAG